UGGGUGACCUGCCUUCAGCUCUGGGAUAAGCCUGGGAAACUGGGUCUAAUACCGGAUAUGACUCCUCAUCGCAUGGUGGGGGGUGGAAAGCUUUUUGUGGUUUUGGAUGGACACGCGGCCUAUCAGCUUGUUGGUGAGGUAAUGGCUCACCAAGGCGACGACGGGUAGCCGGCCUGAGAGGGUGACCGGCCACACUGGGACUGAGACACGGCCCAGACUCCUACGGGGAGCAG
rnacentral:rRNA from 1 species